UAAAUAUGACCACGAGACCGAUAGCGAACAAGUACCGUGAGGGAAAGUUGAAAAGCACUUUGAAGAGAGAGUUCAAGAGUACGUGAAACCGUUUAGGGGUAAACCUGAGAAACCCGAAAGGUCGAAGGGAGAAAUUCAUUCGCGUUUCGACGUGGGCGUCGAGCGUUCGAGCGACGGCGAACUUUCGAGUUUGCCGCGCCUUUUGCUUGACGAACCGGCGACGAACGCGUGCACUUUUUUCCCGGUAGGACGUCGCGAUCCGUCGGGUGUCGGUCUACGGCUCGCGGUGGAGCCCGUUCGUUUCGUACGAACGGACCCGCGUAUCCCGGCCGACUCGCUCGACGGUACGCCAAAGGUUCAGGGCCGCUCUAGGAGCGUUCGACUCGUGGCAAGCGCGCCAGAUGCGUCGGCGAUCGGACCUAGUGCCGAUUCUGACGCCUGGUGACUGUUGGCUACGAAGUUCUCGAACAGACCAUGGACCUAUCCGCGACGCUAUAGCUUUGGGCACUUUCAGGACCCGUCUUGAAACACGGACCAAGGAGUCUAGCAUGUACGCGAGUCAUUGGGAAUCAUUAAACCUAAAGGCGCAAUGAAAGUAAAGGUUUUCCUAGCGAGGACCUAGGGAGGACGGGUGGUUAACCCUUAAAGUGGCCGCCCUGCACUCCCGGGGCGUCUCGUUCUCAUCGCGAGAAGAGGCGCACCAAAAGCGUACACGCUGGGACCCGAAAGAUGGUGAACUAUG
rnacentral:rRNA from 1 species